rnacentral:lncRNA from 1 species
AUUCCAGCUAAUAAAGGAAGAGAAAUAACAGGAUGAAAACUUCAGCAUUUCAUCACCCUGAAGCAAUUAAGGAUGAAAACAAUGAUCAGCCAUGAGGGUGGCUGACGUUACAGAAAGAGCCAGCCAGACCCAGGUGCUUCCUGAGAGAGACACCAACAUUAACGGUAAUUAUAAUUGCCAGCUGGGUACUUCAUGCCUUCAGGCCCUCAAAUGAUUACAUGAUACCUACAAACAUGGGUGAGAGAGAUCUUCUUUACUCAAUCUACUGAUUCCAAACUAAUCUCUCCUGGAAAUACCUUCACAGACACAUCCAGGGAUCACGUUUUACCAGCUAUCCGGCACUGCAAGACCAGCCAAGCUGACAUCUGAAAUUAACCAUCACAGGGAGCAUCUGCCGCCCCACAUCCUCAGGAAACUGCUGCUCUCCUGCCCAGUUUUAGAGUCUCCCAGCAGGCCCUCAGGGGAGGGCUGGAGCACAUCAAGUUAUGACGGGGAGCUUCCUCCAAGACCAGGCUGCCACAUCCUGUGCACAAAGCCUCGUGAACCGCAGUGACAGGCUCAUUUAGAAACAAAUUAGGGGUUAAGUAAAAAGUGCAGGACAGAGGCAAAACCGAGUUUCCCUUUCCCCUUCCUGUCGGUUAGCAUUAGAAGGUGCCCAUGAGCAGCGUGUGUCAAGAAUAUGAACGUGAGAUGUCAUUUUGGCUGCCUCUAAUUGAAGCCAGGAUAAAUGGAGUGGAAAGGCAGCGUCUAAUCCAAUCAAAACAUGAAAAAGGUAUUUUGACAUGUAAAUUACAAACUUCCUGUGUAUUUUGUCUCCCCAAUUACACCCUCCCCUGUCAUGUUUUUUUAAAUUAUAUCUUAAUCUCCCAGUCUCCUAAUAAUUAUGUCAUCAUUCUUGCGCCCUGAACACUGUGUAAUGGUAUUUUAUGGGAUAUGCCAUUCAUUAUUAACUAAACUCACUCUCUGUCCCCAGUGAUACCAUAUCUCAUGGUGUUCAAAUAUGCCUAGUGUCAGCUCCUGCUUUGUAAAUGCUACGGCAGCUCCACUCUCUGCUUCAUGGUUGUAUGGGAAUGAGUUUGGGAAGCACUUGUGGACAGUUAAUCCGACUCAUCGGUAUUUUUAUAUGGGGAUAACUGACACUUUUUGGUUAGUGAAAAGAGAGAUUGGUUUCAAAUAUAAAUCUCUCAUCACUGGGGCUCAUGAAAAUAGGGAUUUUAACCGCUGCUCUUAAAGAACUAGCCAAUAUGAAGAUCACACAAUUAAGAUCACAAAAAGAAGUAAAGAAAAAUGUCAGUUUGAUAUGCAGAGAGUGGCUGUACUGUAGUGGUUGGAGGAAUUACUAAAAGCAACCACACAUCACUUAACAACGGGGAUACAUUCUGGAAAAUGUGGCCUUCAGUGAUUUCACUGUUGUGCAAAUAUUAUAGAGUGCACUUACACAAAGCUAGGUGGUAGAGCCUACUACACACCUGGGAUGUAUGGUAUGACCUAUUGCUCCUAGGCUACAAACCUGUAGAGCAUGUUACUGCACUAAAUACUAUGGGCAAUUGUAACUCGUGGUAUUUGUGUAUCUAAGCAUAGCAUACAGUAUUAAAUCUUGUGGGACCACCAUUGU